UGUGGCGCCGAUACAGGCUGAACAUUGAUUACAAGUUCCUGCAGGCUUAAUUCUUAAUUCUGAAAAACGACAGCCUACAUGCUGCAUGAAGACAUGAGACGAGAUCCAGCGAUUAGAUAGUUAAACUCUCAUCCCACUAUGUCGUCUUGACUUAUAAAAUGCCUGAAGAAAAGGGAUUUUCGAGGGAAAACAUUCAAUGGGAAGGAGUCUGCAAGGAUCUAUCAAGGGGGUGAGCGGUGAAACUAAGGGUAUUGAUGUAGCAGCAUGCACAAAAUGCAAUGCGUAAUUGAUGAGAUACCCCAUGCGGAAAAUAGCGACAUGAAACAGUUUUUUUGUUAGAAAAAAUGCUGGAAAGAGACGUGAUGGUGCAGUCGGACCCAGUUUUACGCCCGAUGUAUGCAUAAUAUGCACCGAAGAGAGUGUUGAUCAGCGCGCCGAGUCACUGUGCUUGCAGCUCAAAGAACAGGAGCUGCGAUCUGCGGUUACAGCUACAAGCAGAUGACUGAGAAGUGACCGCUAGAAAUUCCAUCACUUUGACUGACGCUAAGAAGUCACCAGGACGACGGGGAGUAGAAUUGAACAAAAUGUUACAGAGAAGUUUCCACUUUUAUUUAAUUUAAGUACUGAUAACAGCGUUAGGUCGAUUGAAACGGUCAGGAACAUUGCCAUGUAUGGAUUGUUUAUGUUCUGACGACCUUUUUUCGUUCCGUGAAUACGAAAGGAUUUUGCAUCUCGUUUUUAGUAUUUUUUGUUGUCGCUGUUAAGACGUCGACGCAAGGGCGCAGAAUGGAUUUGCCUGUUUUCUGAGGAUCACGGGCUCCGCUGCCCGGGUGUUCCGAGUCUCUCAACGAUGCAGAUUCUCCGAGUCGCGUGGGCUUUCGCAGGAGCAGCAGUCUGCUGUUUUGUAAUUUUUUUGAUCCACACACACUUGAUGAAAGAAGGUCAGCUUGCGGCGGGGACGUGCGAGAUCGUCACACUCGACCGCGACAGCAGUCAGCCGCGGCGCACCAUCGCGCGCCAGACGGCACGCUGCGCCUGCAAGAGGGGGCAGAUCGCCGGGACAACGAGAGCCAGGCCAGCUUGUGUGGACGCUCGUAUCGUGAGGACCCGGCAGUGGUGUGAGAUGAUGCCCUGUUUGGACGAUGAAGGCUGUGACCUGUUAGUGAACAAAUCUGGCUGGACCUGUACACAGCCUGGGGGCAGAGUCAAAACAACGACGGCUCUCUGAAGUGCCGGAGUACCCAUUCAAAUACACACAAACAUGGCGGAGAGACUAGCAAACCUGACAGAGAGCGAAACCCAACCACUCGUCAAGAACAGACACGAACUAAACAACAAACUGCAAAACCACAGCGGGCCUUAACGACACAGCAAGGUGUCCUGACAACCGUCGCCACGGAGACUCCCGCGGUGAGGUGCAGUCCGGACGCAGUGACGGUCGUCCAUCUCCUGUCUGUGCCGCAGCGGAUCGCCUACCGCCCGCCACUCGCUCCACACGUCCAUCCGUCUGUCUGUCCAUCCGUCUGCGUCAUACACGGACAGCGCCCCCUAGUGCCGCGUCGAACUGCCGGCUCUCGUCAGCGGGAUGUAGCGCACUGCGAUGGCUGCUGCCUCACGCUGUUCCCACUCUUAUUCUGCUGGUGGAGUACUCUCCCCCGAACUGACCCAACCCCCCCACGCCCGGAGGACUGUGGGGUACUGGCUCGCCAUGGACAGGACCAGCAGUUCAUUCACAGCACGAGACCGCAGGGAAAGGGACCUCGCUAUGCCCGUCUUGUGUAUAUGGCAACUGCUGAACUUAAUAUUUGGCGCUUUCUCGAUAUUUUUACAGACCAAAGAAAAACUACAAUUUAGGCGGACAGGAUGGACCAAGUUGAAAACAGACGGCAUUCUGGGAACCUUACAAAUUCAGCUGGACUGCAGUGGACAGCUGGCAAAAACACACACAAAAACACAUGUAAACAUAUGCACACACACGCUCACACACUGUACACACACACGACUGCUGCUGAAUGGAGCAAAAGGUUUGUGGACAAAAAUAAGUGACCUGUUUAAUCUGAAAUAUCAAAGGACCUUUAAUACUUUGCUGACAUUUUUCUUGGACUUAACUCACUUUGGUAUUUGAACCUGAUUAUAUAUAUAAUGUUAUGUAUAUAAUAUUAUAUAUAUAUAAUCAGAUUUUCAUUUUCCAGUAGCUAUAUUUGGACAAUUUGCAAUAAGCAUGGUUGGUUACAGUAAAAGCAAACCAUUCAUCACCAGAAAGGAAUUAAACAAUGAGUCGUAUCAGUUUGGGGAAGAAAAAAAAUCAUUAAAUGUAUUUUGAAGAGCCUAAAGUUAUAUAUUUAACAGUUUUAUAUGUUGUAUCUUUGUAGAAAACCUUAUUUAACACAAAUAAUGUGGUAACAAUGGCAGUCAUAAACAGUGGAUACAAGAAGAACUCUGUGCUCAUCUUGCUGGUCUGUCCCACUCUUUCAUUGGCCCGUGAUUGGCCGGUCUCUUUUCUAUCCAUUGAUAUUGUUUCGAUCACAAAACAUGACCAACAUUGGCUAUAUAUUAAAAAGAAAGAGGAAAAACAACUAGACUUUUUAUACCUCUUUAGCAUCUGGACCAUGGAGUUGUUUGCCAUUGUUCUGUAUAGUGGUAGUGUGGAAAUCCGUUCCAUUCUGACUGGUAUCUCUAUGAGUUUCUUUGUGUGUGUGUGUUUGUAUGUGUGUGUGUGUGCGUAUGUGAGUGGAUGAAUGUAAGCAUGAAUGGGUGUGUUUGGUGCACAGUGCUGACCUCAGAUUAAUGUUACUUGAAGGCAGAAAUGUCUUGGAAAAAUCUUAGAAUCAUUAAGAAAAUAUUUUAUACUAAAAAGUAUACAAAUAAAUACAGUACAUGCAAGAAAUAUCAGUCACUCAAAUUUAAUGUUGAAAACAAAAGUAAGCGUUAAAAACAUGCACGACUCUAAAAGGCUUAGAGACUCAUCACGUUUUUCUAGAGUUUUUUGAUUUUAUUCAUUUUUCUGUGUGGUAAGACCUGUAAUGUACGUGGAGAAAAAUUGGUUCCUUUCAUGAUGGAAAGAGUGUUUCUUCCAGUAUUUUGAGUUAGUCAGCCAAUGUGUAAUGCAGUAUGCAGUAUGUAGUAUGCACAUCCACUACAGUCUAAACAGUGAGGUAAAAAUACAUGGUAUAUACUGUACAUACAUACAUACACACAUACAAACAAUGACACACACACACUUACAUACAUACAUGAAAGGAACCAAGGUGAUUUUUAUUGAUACAGUUGAGAAUGAUACAUAUACAUUUGAUUCCAGUUGUCAUUGGCUGGCAUAGCCCAACAGGAACUUUACCUGGAAUUAUUAUUAAAUAGGCUAAUUAGCCAAUAUCUACAGAAAUGGACCAAUGGGUUUGUGUCUGUCUGGAAAUAAAAUAAAAGAAUUCUAAAUA